rnacentral:lncRNA from 10 species
UUUUGGUUAAUUCUCUCAAAUAGUUCUCAUAAAAAGCCCACCAAGUAGAUCACAUUAUUCCCUGUUGCAUUAAUGUGUUUAAACUAAGCGAUGCUACAACAAUGUACAACCCCAAAAAUCUAAGCAUUUGCCUCAACAAAGGUUUGUUUCUCACUCAUGUCACACAUGUAUGAUGGGUCAGCUACAGCCCUUGUCCAUGCCUUCUUUGCUCCAGGACUCAGUAACAGAGAGAAAUGGAGAUAGCAGAACCACAAUGUCUCUUAAAGCAUCUAUACAAUAGUGGCACAAUUCCUCAUACUCACUUUUGCCAGCCAAAGUAAAUCUCACAGCCAAGCCUGACGUCAAUAGGGCAGGGAUAUAUAGUCCUUCGCCAGCAGGAGGGAGGGGUGCCAGAAAUCACAUGGCCACACCUAGUACAAUGCGACAAGGAUGCAUAAUCUUCCCCCAGAGACAGCAAAAUGAGAGUGCUAGUACUACACAGCACACCGUCUCCUAAAGAAACUGAGGGGAAGCAAUCCGCCUGAUCAAGUAGCUCAUUAGUGGCAGAAUCAGCCUUUAAACAUCGUCAGACUCCAGGUUUGAGGAUUCCUUCCAGCACACCACAGCUGUUUCUAGGUCUCACUCUGGGACAGAGGCACCUGCCCUGAUCCACGCUUUCUGCCACUCUCCAGGAAUAUUCACGUCAAGAUGUCCCACUCAAACAUUUGGCCCUUGAAUGUUUUAUUCAUAAGGAUCAUAUGUCCAAAGGAAUCUAAGCAAGCCAAGUCAGACAAAAUUAACAAGCGUAAAUUAAGGAAUGUAAUAGAGCCAACAUUGAAAUUCUCAGUAGAUGGAGUCAUUUAAAACAUUUUUUUAGUUUAACCAGACUGAAGAUCAAAAGGGGGUUGGUGGCACCUGAGAAGAACAAGAAGCUGUCACCACCCCUUGCCCCGGGAGCAGAAGAGAGAUGAAUGACAGCGCUGUCUGCUUUCAGCACUUCAGCGUGGCGUCAGCUGUGUCUCUCUGGCCAUUGGUCAAUUGCAUCCUGCAGUAGCUGGAGUGAGGGAUCUGGGGAGGACAGGGACUAAUGCCCAGGAAAAGCCUGGCACCAAUCAUUUCAAAAGGGUCUUAACCAUGACCUGUUCAGCAUUUCCAGAGUUAAUUAGUCCCAUCACGACGAACAUCACCCAGUCCCAAAUGGGCACCCUGGUUGCCUGUGAAUACAGGCUCCUUGCCAACCCCCACCACUCUCCACCUUGAGACCAAACACUCAGCAAGCUGAAGCUUGCAGGCCACGGUGACUGGCUCCAUGCUGCCUUGGGAAGCCCUACAUGACCUCUACAUGGUCCUUCUUCAGUAUGUGAAGUACAGAGGCAACACCAGGACAUUUUGAAGGGCAAAAGAAGGUUCAAUGGGGCAAUUUCCAAGGCAUCUUGCUCCACUGCUGGUAAGCAAUUAGCAGGCUUUCUACAGGGACUUCUCAAAAGAGGAUCCAGAAGGCAGGCUCAGCAUUGCAGCCUGGCUGCAGGCCACAGUGUGGCAGACGCAUGUAUUCAUGGGCAUGUCAAAUACAUCACUUCAAUACGAAAUUCAUAGGCCCAACAUUCAUCUGCGAGAUUGAACACUGGGUAGCUCAAAAGCUAGUCUUCUGAAAGCAUCCUACAAAACACCCGAAGUUGCCGUUCCAGAAUUGCUAUAAUUUCACGACUGUGCAAGCUGUACUAGUAGUACACAGGCAAAGGGAUAGAAAAAAGAUUAUAUUAAUGCUCAAGGGGGAAAAGCAAGAUUAUAAAGGACUUAGCAGAGCUAUGUUCUGAUAAUAAACCAAGAGCAUUUAGGACCCAACCUAGAAAAAAAUGGAUUUACAGCCGAAGUCUUUCCUGUUUGGGGCUACAGCAUCAUUCUGUCAUUCUAACCACAUUUAUCCUGAACCUCCCCCCACCACCCGCUGCCCAUGUGCUGGCCACCGUGCUGGGAUCAACAAAACUGAAUGAGACACAGGACCUGAUACUGGGGAGCUGACCAUCUAGCAGGUGACGUAUGGAUGGAUGAAGCAUCUUAGGACAUCUAAAGAAAGAGAUCACUCCUCCAUACUGAUCCUAAAGUUGACCUCCAGAUAACAUUCUGUCACAUGCAUGUGCACCAGAGAUGGGGAGAACACACAGAAUGGGAAGAACCACAACUGUUUAGGUGCAUGAAUUCUACAAUUUGUAAAAACUCAUUGUUUUUCACCUAGUAUAUGUAAGAAUUGAAUAAUAACACAGAGAAAUAAAUUCUAGCAUUAAAGAAUAAACCAGAAAUCUCCUUAAAGGAACACAAGUAACAAAGCCUGGCAGGGGUGGGAAACAGCAGAAAUUACCACAUUUUGCUUGGAUCUUGAAAAUUGUGAAUUCUCAGUGAAGUCCAAUUUUCACUUUUUAAUAAUGGAGCUCUAUAACAUCUUAAAACUCUGGGUUUAUGUAUUUUUAUUAUCAACUCUAUAAAUUCAAUAAAGAAGUGGAGUAAAGGUUCAGGACAAGAAGAAGGAGAAAAGAACAGUUAAAAAUUUGGGAAAUACUAGCACUUCAUUCUUUACCAAGUUGUCACUCUAUCACUGCAAGCGUGAGGAUUGGUGAAAAGUAUUAAGCAGACUAAGAUUGCACCCCAGAGAGCCCAGGCUUAUACAACCAGCACACUUCCCCCACUAACUGACAUACUCAACUAAUAACUACUGAAUGUUGCCCAUUGGCCAGCCGCAUCCAACCCUUAUCCCACUGCAUCCUCAAAUCUGCCACCUUACAGAUGAAGAAAUGGAAAUGUAAACAAGUUAGGUGACUAAGAACAGAGUGUAAUGAGCAUCGUGGUUGACUCCCUGCCAUUCAUGCACAUCAUGCUAAUAUAAAGUAAUCAGGCUACAUGAUCCCCAGCCAAGAAUGAGUUCAAGAAUAUUCCUGGGACAUAUUUCUGCUGGAAGUCUCCCAGGGAAAGUUUCCCUUUCCUGAGAGCGGGCUCCCCAGUCAGAGAUCUCUCUCUUCUGGUCUAGCAACAAUGUGAAUGCAUUCUGCUCCCGAGGAGAAUAACACCGAGGAUGGCAAACAGGCAAGGGGGAAAGAUGGCAAGCGUCCUUGAUGACACCACUUAGCUGCCAACCCCACCAACCCACAGCUAGCCCAACUUCUGGACUUCGUGUUAUGAGAUAAUAAAUUUCCUAAGCAUCUGUGCUGGGAUGAGUCAGGUUCUCUUUCAUUUUCAUCAAAAGCAUCUUGGCUGAUACAAAAAGCCAGGAUCCAAACCCAGGUCUGUGUGAUUACCAAGAACCUACUCAUUCCAAGAGUUUUCUAGUCUGUCUCUGGUAUGCAUAAAGUCCCGAAGGGUUUCCAAGUCAACAGCUGCAGUGGUCCUGGAGUCAGACAGACUUGGACUAAAUCCCAGAUCUGCCACUAAUUAGCUGGGUGAUUGUGGGCAAAUUACCUCUCCUUUUUAUGCCUGUUACCUCAUCUGAAAAAUGGGGAUAAUCAUUGCACCUGCCACAAAGAGCUGUUUGAAGACCAAAGGAAAUUUCCACACAGUCGGUGCUCAGUGAUCAUUAGUUUUCAUGAGCAGGGGAACUGAAUGAUUUUUGGUGGCUAGAUUCUUUUGAUCAGAAUCUUUGUAAUGUUUUGAAUAGAGUAACAUUUACUUUCUCCUGACAUAUCACAUCUAUGCCAAAAUAAAAAUACAAUGUGGCCAGGCGCGGUGGCUCACACCUGUAAUCCCAGCACUUUGGGAGGCCGAGGUGGGUGGAUCACCUGAGGUCAGGAGUUCGAGACCAGCCUGGCCAACAUGGUGAAACCCCGUCUCCAUUAAAAAUACAAAAAUUUGUUGGGCAUGGUGGCAAUCUGUAAUCCCAGCUACUCAGGAGGCUGAGGCAGGAGAAUCGCUUGAACCUGGGAGGCGGAGGUUGCAGUGAGCCGAGAUUGUGCUAUUGCACUCCAGCUGGGCAACAGAGCGAGGCUCCAUCUCAAAAAAAAAAAAAAUGUUUUCUUAAUGUUUGGCCUUGUCUGAGCUUUUGGCUUUUUAAUUAGAAAAUGCCUCAUUCCUUAUUGAAAGAACACAUCAUUCAAAAAAAUAUUUGAAAUGUCACCCAUAGUAUCAUGCUACCUAAUUAAACAAUUUUUGUUUUUUGAUAUUACCUCUGGCAUGUAAAAUGCACAUACCUACAAUUAUAGUGAACAUACUGUUUUGCUUCCUAUUAUUUUCACUUAAAUUAUAGCAUAUAUUGACAUGUUCUUUAUAAUUAUUUGCCUUAAUAGCUUUAUAAGAUUGAUAUAAUUUACUAUAUAUUCCCCCAGGAUUAAUAUUUUUGACAUAAAUUGCUUUCUUAUUUUUUGUCUUAGAGAUGACGCAGCAGUGAUCAUUUUGGCUUAUAUAUUUUGUUUUCUGUGCAUUAUUUCCUAAAGAGAAAAUUCCUAGGCAUGGAAUUCUGGGUCUAGGGCUAUGAAUUGUCUUAGUGCCUCCUGCUACAUAAUUCUCUCCAAAAGGAAUGUUCCAGUUUGUCAUGUGAACUUAAUCUUAACUACUCAAGACUGAAAUUGAGUUCCUCUAAGCAGUUACUUGGUUUGAAAUAUCACAUGAGCCUUUAUACUUUGGGGAAAUCAGUAUUUUGAUUGCCUUGCCAUGGGUUUCAAGCUUUAUAAGUGAAAUUCUGCUUUCUUCACUUGAGGGACUAAAAGUUCCCUCUUGAACCAAUCAGUCUUAUUUUUCAAAGGCUGUGAACUUUUAAAAGUCUGUCUGGUUUUAUCUCCCUAUUUUUCUUCAUGACUCUGACUUAAUUAUCAUAGACCCCCAAGGAUGCCUAAAUGCCUCAAGGACACCAUUUUAAAUGGAUGAUCAAACCCAACUUCCUACUUCUCUGUGAGAGGCACAUUUCUAAUCUGGGAGUGAGUAGUACAAUCACUCUGUCCAGACGGAGUAACACCGGUUUCCUAUAGCAAAAGCCUAGGUCCUUGGAAAACCACUGACUGCUUCAUGAAUUCCUUGGACAUUAAUUGGUGAAGUAACUAAGAAAAAUGCACCCCACACAAAGUUUAUUGUGGACCCCUCCUCAUUCUCCCAUGCAGCAAAAACAACUAAGCUUCUUUUCCCUUUGAGCAGGACAGUGGGUUUGGCUGUGCCAGGAUGAGUCUCCCGGGGGUAGAGAAAGCCUGAGUAUUUUUCUCUGGUGCUAAAUUUACCUGACUCCAGGGCAGAUGCCUCCAAGUCAUAGGCAAGGGGGUUAACACACUUGGAUGCUCCUAAAGGGACUUUGUCCAGCCUGCUGUGAGGUCUUUCCACCUUCUCAUGUUUCUAACAUGACCAUAAAAUCAAAUCUAAAUGCAAACAUUAAAAUGCAAGGCACUAUGACUAGGUCUAGGGUAGUCAUUCAAGUGAUGUGGAGCAGGCUUAUGUUUUUUUCUCCCUCCAGAUUAUCAUAGACAUGGGAACACAACAUUUAAACGCCCUGGUAGAAUUUCAAAAGUAUGUCUAGAGAUCCUAAUGGAGUCACAAACCCCAGAUUAUGACACACAUCAAGUUCAAGGGUCUAGAAACUUUUUCUGGAAAAGGUCAGAUAGUAAAUAAUUUAGACUUUGGGGGCCAUAUGGUCUUUGUUCUAACCAAUUCUACCAGCAUGCAAGCAGCCAUAGGCAUUUGGUAAGCAAAUGGGGCACAGAAUUUUUUAUUUCUUGUAGAGACAGGGUCUUGCUAUGUUGCCCAGCCAUGUUCCAAUAAAACUUUAUUAACAAACACAAGCACUGGAUUUGGCCUGAAGGCCAUAGUUUGCCAAUCCCUACUCUACUUACUGUGUGAAUAAUAAGAUGGGAAGACCUCCUGACUAUCAGCUCUGUAUUCUUCCAAUUUUCAGUUUGUGUUUGGUUCACAUCUUCAAUGUAUGUCUUUAUCAUGGGAUUUAGAAAGUGGAUGUUCAUUCAACCAGGCAUAUAAGAUUUUUCGUUGCCUACAGUUCUGCUCUUAAUUAGCCCUAUCUCCAUUAAGUAUGACUCAAGACUACAUUUCUUGAUAACGUAGAUGAAAUUGGUUAAGAAAAUUAAAAACUGGAAAGAGACAGGCAAUACAAAUCAGUUUUCAAGAAUUUGUGAUGAGCAAUUGAAUCCAGCCUUUUCUUUGAGAUGUGAGCAGACUCUGUUUUGAAUGGCUUCUCUGCGGAUAAGUAGACUUGAAAGCAGGGAAGCUGUCUGAUGCAGCAGAGAGGUUGUGAUGUUGAGGUAAUUAUUGAUGCCACCAAUAUCUGCCUGUGUGACCUUUCCUUGCACAAGUUAUUUAAUUUCCCUGGGAUUUGGUUUCCCCUUAUAUAAAGUAAGGGAUUUGGAUUAGAUGAAUUGGAUUAGAUGAGUCCUAAAUCUGCUCAAGCUUUGAACAUUUAAAAUUUUGUAUCAAGCAAUCUAUGCUGAGAGCUUUACAACAUAUCAGAAAGCAAGCGAUUUAGAGAGAGUUCUGCCUCUUGUGAAGCUCAAAUGCACAUCCUACGAAGGCUUCUCACUUUGGUUUUCCCUAAAACCAGGACAUUUUAGUCAUCUUAGGAAUCUCAAUUAUUAUGAAAAGUUUCCCAACUUAACAGGGACAGAUUUUCAUAAACAUAGAAGGGUGGGGGUGUCAGAAAACUUUACUAACAGAAGGUACUUCAAAUGGAGAAAUAUAGUGGGUGUUUUAGUCAAGGUUAUCCAGGAAAACAGAACCAAUAGAAUAUAUAGAGAGAGACAUAUAUAAGAAGAGAUGUAGAAAUUGGUUCAUGCAAUUAUGGAGACCAAGAAGCUCCGUGAUCUACCACUGCAAGCUGAAGACCAGGAAAGCUGGUGGCAUAACUCAGUCAGAAGGCCUGAGAGUAGGGGGCGAGGAGGUGAGAAAGAGGAUGGUAAUAGUGUAAGUCCCUGUCUGAGUCCAAAAGACGGAUGUCUCAGCUCAAGCAGAGAGAGCAAAUUGGCCCCUUCUUCACCUUUUUGUUCUAUUCAGGCCCUCAAAUAAUUGGAAAAUGCCCAGGCAUGGUGGAGGGCCAUCUGCUUUAUUUUGUUCACCAAGUCAAAUGCUAAUUUCUUCCCAAAAUACCCUCACCGACUCACCAGGAAUAAUGUUUUACCAGCUAUCUGGGCAUCCCUUAGCCCAGUCAAGUUAACACACAAAAUUAACCAUCAUGGUGGAAGGAUGGAGGCAUCACCCUACAGCCAUAGUUCUGAAUCCUGUUUUGGUUUGUACCAGUCUCCAAUGGUUCAUUAACAGUAAAUACUAUGGCAAAUAUGCAAUGAAGAUUUUUUCAUUAAAUAUUUAAAUUUUAGCAUGGCAUUUGAUUUAUACUUUUCAAUUGAUUGGUCCUUCACAACCAUGGAUUCAUAGUUUAAAAUGAGGUCAUGUCAAAAUGGAAGAAUAGUGACUAUGGUAAACACAAUGACUCAGACUAAUCCAAGGAUUCAUAUUGACAAGUGGGCUAUAAAAAUGUAGAUACAUCAGCCUACCAUUUAGCCCAAUAUUAGCAAUUUAGUUUCAGCAAAACAUCACCUAACACAUGAAAUCAGUGUUGUUAACUUGAAUGUUAUUGUUGGUGUUGUCUUGUUUGUAUUUAAUUAGUGCAUUUUUAAUGGUUCUAUAAUAAACAUAACCAUAAGAAAUGUAUGGCUACUUUCA